AUUGAACGCUGGCGGCAUGCCUUACACAUGCAGGUCGAACGGUAACAGGUUAAGCUGCCGAGUGGCGAACGGGUGAGUAAUGUAUCGGAACGUGCCCAGUCGCGGGGGAUAACUGCUCGAAAGAGCAGCUAAUACCGCAUACGACCUGAGGGUGAAAGCUGGAGAUCGCAAGACCUCGCGCGAUUGGAGCGGCCGAUAUCAGAUUAGGUAGUUGGUGAGGUAAAGGCUCACCAAGCCGACGAUCUGUAGCUGGUCUGAGAGGACGACCAGCCACACUGGGACGGAGACACGGCCCAGACUCCUACGGGAGGCAGCAGUGGGGAAUUUUGGACAAGGGGCGCAAGCCUGAUCCAGACAUGCGGGGGGCGGGAAGAAGGCCUUCGGGUGGUAAACCGCUUUUGUCAGGGAAGAAAAGGUUCUGGCUAAUACCUGGGACUCAUGACGGUACCUGAAGAAUAAGCACCGGCUAACUACGUG
rnacentral:rRNA from 1 species